rnacentral:rRNA from 1 species
UACGUAGGAGGCAAGCGUUAUCCGGAAUCACUGGGCGUAAAGGGCGUGUAGGCGGCCCGUUAAGUUGGCUGUGAAAUCUCCCGGCUCAACCGGGAGCCGUCAGCCAAUACUGCCGGGCUAGAGGGCAGCAGAGGAAAGUGGAAUUCCCGGUGUAGCGGUGGAAUGCGUAGAUAUCGGGAGGAACACCAGUGGCGAAGGCGGCUUUCUGGGCUGCCCCUGACGCUGAGGCGCGAAGGCGUGGGGAGCAAAGUGG